rnacentral:rRNA from 1 species
CGAACGGUGAAGCCCAGCUUGCUGGGUGGAUCAGUGGCGAACGGGUGAGUAACACGUGAGCAACCUGCCCUCCACUUCGGGAUAAGCCCUGGAAACGGGGUCUAAUACCGGAUAUGAGCUUCCACCGCAUGGUGGGGGUUGGAAAGUUUUUCGGUGGGGGAUGGGCUCGCGGCCUAUCAGCUUGUUGGUGGGGUGAUGGCCUACCAAGGCGUCGACGGGUAGCCGGCCUGAGAGGGCGACCGGCCACACUGGGACUGAGACACGGCCCAGACUCCUACGGGAGGCAGCAGUGGGGAAUAUUGCACAAUGGGCGCAAGCCUGAUGCAGCGACGCCGCGUGAGGGAUGACGGCCUUCGGGUUGUAAACCUCUUUCAGCAGGGAAGAAGCGCAAGUGACGGUACCUGCAGAAGAAGCGCCGGCUAACUACGUGCCAGCAGCCGCGGUAAUACGUAGGGCGCAAGCGUUGUCCGGAAUUAUUGGGCGUAAAGAGCUCGUAGGCGGUCUGUCGCGUCUGGUGUGAAAACCCGAGGCUCAACCUCGGGCUGGCAUCGGGUACGGGCGGACUAGAGUGCUGUAGGGGAGACUGGAAUUCCUGGUGUAGCGGUGGAAUGCGCAGAUAUCAGGAGGAACACCGAUGGCGAAGGCAGGUCUCUGGGCAGUUACUGACGCUGA